rnacentral:tRNA from 1 species
CCCCUCGUCGUUUAAUGGAUAGGACACAGCCCUGCGAAGGCUGAAAUCGAGGUUCGAUUCCUCGCGAGGGGA